AAGGGGGUGGCCUGGGGGAUUAGUGCCGCUACUCCCUAACCUGCUCGGAAAGUUUCGCUCUUUCGCCAAAGAUGCUGGCAGAUGUGACCACAUACAUGGUUUUGCUUCCAUUAACCAGGAGAGUCAUUAAGUCCUGGAGCUUAAUGAGGCUCUGCAGAGCCCAAUCGUCAUUCCUCGGUGGAAAGUGCCAGUUCAUUGCUUGUAGAUCAAAAUCCUGGAGAUCAUGACUAAGUCAGAGGGGAGCUUUUCUGGCAUUAGGGAUUGACGGCCGACCCUAAUGUGACCCCACGCUGCAAAGUAGGCUUGCAUGAGUCAAAGGCUCCGGCCCCUCUGACCAGUCUGAAGGUGUGGGUGAUGGGGAAGCGAAAGGUACUCAACGAAGAGGAAAAAGCUAGAAACUUCUGAGGAACAGCAGAACAGGAAAUGCAGCCUUAACUGAGCACCAAUAAUUAAAGACUUAGCGAGCUCUUUCUGUUUUACCAACCCUUAAGUCACAGUCUACGACUCAUUCCUUGGCCCUUUUUCUCUCGAAUGGUAAUUGCUGCUCUUCUCCCAGAAGAUUCCAGAACUUGACAGUAGGAUAUCUGGACUUACAUCCCCGAUGUACCACCUGCUAGAUAUGUGGUCCUGGGCCAGGAGCCUGGAUGUGGUCAUCUGAAAAAUGGGGACAACCGGGCUUGGCUCUCUCAAAGGUUUGUGUAGAGAUGCAAAAUGAGUUGAUGUGAAUAAGCACUCCCUGAGAAGCAGGGAUUACGCCGGACACUCAGACCUCACAGUAGGGUCCAGAUGGCUCCAAUGCACACCACCAUCCCCCUCUCUUCUCUUCCAUCCUUUAGUUUUACUCCUUCCUCAAAUGUCCUGCUCACCAAUUCUCACCAUGUAUGUCUCUUCCAGAUUCCUUUUUUCCCAUUCUAGACCUUGAUUAGGAUUUCCCAAGGACUUUCAUGGACCACUAGUCCCCCAAAUGGCCCACAACCAAAGGGGGUUCUAAGGACAAAUCAGUUUGAGAAAUAACGAACCUCCUUUUAGAUACAUAACAUAACCUCCUUUCAAGAAGUCAACAGUUCUCCAUAGGGCUUUGAGAAGUCUUGCAGGAAGGAAACUUGUCUACCUUUCCUGCCUGAUUAGUUAGCAAUUUCUUAAUUAGUUUGACCACAAACCCAUUUUUCAAAUACUGCUUAUUAACAACCUGCUUCCCCACAAAUACAGCUUGGGAAAUAUCCUGGCUAAUGCUGGUAACUAUAAUGAUGAUGCCCAUUGAUUGAAUGUUUGUUACAUGUCAGUCUCCGUGGUAGCUGUUUAUAAAUAUUUAACUCCCAAUCAUCUCCAUGGGAUGUGUGCCUCACAUAAAACCACAAAGUAGACUGACCAAAACUCCAACCUGCUGGGGCGCCUGCGUGGCUCAGUGGGUUAAGCCUC